UACAGAGGGCCCGAGCGUUGUUCGGAUUUAUUGGGCGUAAAGGGUGCGUAGGCGGCGGGGUAAGUUGGGUGUGAAAUCCCGAGGCUCAACCUCGGAAUUGCAUUCAAUACUGCUUCGCUCGAGUACUGGAGAGGAGGCUGGAAUUUACGGUGUAGCAGUGAAAUGCGUAGAUAUCGUAAGGAAGGCCGGUGGCGAAAGCGAGCCUCUGGACAGUUACUGACGCUGAUGCACGAAGGCCAGGGGAGCAAACGGG
rnacentral:rRNA from 1 species